rnacentral:lncRNA from 1 species
UCAGCAGGCCGAGCCCUGGCACAGGGGCGGUUGCUACCAGCAGAGGAAGAGCUGGGCAACGCCCUGAGGAACUGGGCCACACAGGGCUGUAUUUAUAAAAGUGGGCAUGGAAUUUGACUGUAACAUCAUGGUGCCUUAUUGUAUUACAGUAAACAAGUGAUGUGCUGACAAUAGGCAAACAAGAGACACCCACAGAAAUGUCCCCUUUUUGCUUAGGGUAAACGCUGGCUGAGUAGCUGAGUAUUAAACAUCAGAUACUGCAGAGUUUACAGGACCUAUCAUCUCAACCACCUCCCUCUCAGCGUGAGAGUUCAGAUGGCCUGUACAACACUGCAUUUACAAUCGUUCGUGUGGACGUGGCUCUGCUGCUUGGAUCCUCUAAAAGCAUUGUUCACUCCUAGGCCACCAGUCCAGCUCCUCUCUGGGCCAGAAUAAAAUCAGCCAAAUCUGCAGUGUUUGGGGGUAUGAUCCAUAUGAGACCAGAUGUGCUAUGACUGACCAAAGAAAUGCACAAAGCUCUGGACUGACAUUUUGUGAAUAUGUGAACAGACAUGCUGCCUCCACAGGCUAUCCCCCUACAGACAGCCCUCAGGUUUGGAGACUUUGUUCAGAUCUGAGCAGCUGCAGAGUGGAGAGAGAGAGAGGAAUGCUACCCACCAAAUCUAGCAUACAGGAGUGGAGACUUGUUCAGCAUCAGCAUGGGAGAGCAGAGCACAGGAACAGAGCUGAUCUCUAUCUAGAUUUGCCCUAUCUUCAGCUAUCUUCAGACUAUCCCAGAUUUCCAUGUAGUCCAUGAAAAUGUGACCAACAGGCAUCUGAAAACCAUUAGGACAGAAAAGUGUGUUUGUGAUUUACUUAAAUCUGUUUUUGUAAGAUUUCUGCACACUACAAUUCCCAAUGCACUAACCUGAAUAGCUAAAACUCUGUCUCUAAAUAGACAUUGGCUUCUCUAAGGCUCAGGUAGCUUAAAUAGCUUAACUAAAUUACUAUGAGUUUUCCAUCACCUUCAGGGAGGAUAGGACACAACACAGACCAUCUCAGAAGCUGGAUUGUGUUUGUUGGGUAGGUAAAACUGCUUUGGCUGGUUGAGAGCACCUACCUCUGCCUUGUUGCUUCUAGUGAUACAUCUCCUUUCCAAGACCUGGUGCCU